CCUACGGGGGGCAGCAGUGGGGAAUAUCGCACAAUGGGCGCAAGCCUGAUGCAGCCAUGCCGCGUGUGUGAAGAAGGCCUUCGGGUUGUAAAGCACUUUCAGCGGGGAGGAAGGCGGUGAGGUUAAUAACCUCAUCGAUUGACGUUACCCGCAGAAGAAGCACCGGCUAACUCCGUGCCAGCAGCCGCGGUAAUACGGAGGGUGCAAGCGUUAAUCGGAAUUACUGGGCGUAAAGCGCACGCAGGCGGUCUGUCAAGUCGGAUGUGAAAUCCCCGGGCUCAACCUGGGAACUGCAUUCGAAACUGGCAGGCUAGAGUCUUGUAGAGGGGGGUAGAAUUCCAGGUGUAGCGGUGAAAUGCGUAGAGAUCUGGAGGAAUACCGGUGGCGAAGGCGGCCCCCUGGACAAAGACUGACGCUCAGGUGCGAAAGCGUGGGGAGCAAACAGGAUUAGAUACCCGAGUAGUC
rnacentral:rRNA from 1 species